UGUGUGUAAAUGUUGACAUUUGUAUUAACUAGGAUUAAGAAGUGCUAUUGAAGCAUUGUUUAUUGUUAGCUUGCGUUAAUCAGCAAACAAAUCAUACAAUUGUAAUCCAUGUAAUACUAUUCUGUGUAUGAACUGUGACCAAAGGAUUUUAUGUAGUAUUUCCAAAUGCUGAAAACAAGCUACACUCAGUUUAAGACAAAUAAAUAGUAAAUAAAUGCAACACCUAUGCAGCUUUAUUUUUUUAUACUCAGUUUAAUACUAAAAACCAAUUCACAGUGUGUAUAUGUGUGUGUGUGUGUGUGUGUGUGUGUGCAGGUAUUGAAGGUUUGCGUUUACCACAAUGAGCUUUUCAUUCUCAUUGUGUGUUUUAAUACUGCUAUUAGGUGAGUGUUUUACAUCUCUGAAGACACAUUUGUGGCCUAAUUAUGCAAAAUAUAUUCAAAUAUCACAUCAUAAAUAUAUUCACGUCUUACUAUAUUGUCUUGUGACUAUAUUGUCUAUGCUUUUCUUUUAGGUGAAACCAUUAAUGGACAAACAUCAGACCCUUGCAAAACGUACAAUGUGCUGGAGAACCGCUGGAGAGCCACCAACAAUCUGUAUUCUUCUGAAAUAAUGUGUGACUGUGAGGUGAACUGGAACGGCUGGUACCGUCUGCUUUAUGAAGGUCAGAGUGUUCAGAUGCCAGACACAUGUGUUGAUGAGUAUAGCUGCGGCACUCAUGCUCCACUGUGGCUGAGUGGAGGACAUCCAAAAGUCGAGGAUGGAGUAGUCACUCGAGAUGUCUGCGGGCACUAUGAAAAUGACUGCUGCUCCUUUAAAUCCAAUGCUAUUCAAGUCAAAGCCUGUCCGGGAGAUUAUUUUGUCUACGAGCUAGUGAAACCUUCCUUCUGCUUUCUGGCAUACUGUGCAGGUAAAUAUACUGACUUUUUUUGUUUUUGUUUACGUAGGUCUUAAUUUCAUCUCAAUUCAUGGCCUUUUUUUCUCCCACCUCAGAUGUUAGGAACAUCAACACCAGCAACACCAUUACAACUGUGGUUCCUCCUGUUGAUCCCUGCACCAGUUACCAUGCCCUGGAUAACCCGUGGAGAGCCACCAGUAAUCAAUAUUCCUUUGAAAUAAUGUGCGACUGUGAGGUUAACUGGGACGGCUGGUACCGUCUCUUCAUUAAUGGUCAGAGUGUUCAGAUGCCAGACACAUGUGUUGAUGAGCACAGUUGCGGCACUCAUGCUCCACUGUGGCUGAGCGGAGGACAUCCAACACUUGAGGAUGGAGUGGUCUCUCGAGAUGUCUGCGGUCAAUGGAGCAACAACUGCUGCUAUUUCCAGUCCAAUCCCAUUCAAGUCAAAGCCUGUCCUGGAGGUUUUUAUGUCUAUGAGUUUGUGAAACCAGAGUUCUGCUCUUUGGCAUAUUGUGCAGAUGUAAGGAACAUAAACACUACAUAUACUACUGCCAAUCCAAACACUAUGUUUACCACAGAAACAACAACCAUGGACAUAAUAACUGAAUACGCCACUUCAGAAACAACACCAAUAGAAAGCCAAGUGACAGAAAGCACCACAACUGGAGAAAGUGUGACAGUCAGUCAAGCUGCAACAGGUGAAAAGGCGAUCACAGGUGCCACAACAACAAAAAGUGCCACUAUGGACAUGACAGCAAGCGAAAAUAUGACAACAAUGACUACAACUUCAGAAUCUACAACAACAACAGCACAAAGAACAGAAAGCAGCACAACUCCAGGAAGCACAAGAACUUCAGACAGUACCACAAUAGCUGAAACCCCAGUGGCUACAACACCUGCGACUACAGGAGCAGAAAGCAUGACAAGAGAGGAAAGCACAACUACAAAUAGUAUGACAAUAAGCACAACAACUCCUGAAAGCACCACAACUGAGACCACAACAACCGAAAGCACCACAACUGGCACCACAACUCCAGAAAGUACCACAACUGAGACCACAACAACCGAAAGCACCACAACUGGCACCACAACUCCAGAAAGCACCACAACUGAGACCACAACAACCGAAAGCACCACAACUGGCACCACAACUCCAGAAAGCACCACAACUGAGACCACAACAACAGAAAUCACCACAACAGGCACCACAACUCCAGAAAGCACCACAACUGAGACCACAACAACCGAAAGCACCACAACUGGCACCACAACUCCAGGAAGUACCACAACUGAGACCACAACAACCGAAAGCACCACAACAACCGAAAGCACCACAACUGGCACUACAACUCCAGAAAGUACCACAACUGAGACCACAACAACCGAAAGCACCACAACUGGCACCACAACUCCAGAAAGUACCACAACAGAGACCACAACAACCGAAAGCACCACAACUGGCACCACAACAACCGAAACCACCACAACUGGCACCACAACAACCGAAAGCACCACAACUGGCACCACAACUCCAGAAAGCACCACAAAUGAGACCACAACAACCGAAAGCACCACAACUGGCACCACAACUCCAGAAAGCACCACAACUGAGACCACAACAACCGAAAGCACCACAACUGGCACCACAACUCCAGAAAGCACCACAACUGAAACCACAACAACAGAAAGCACCACAACUGGCACCACAACUCCAGAAAGUACCACAACUGAGACCACAACAACCGAAAGCACCACAACUGACACCACAACUCCAGAAAGCACCACAACUGGCACCACAACAACCGAAAGCACUACAACUGGCACCACAACAACCGAAAGCACCACAACUGGCACCACAACUCCAGCAAGUACCACAACUGACACCACAACAACCGAAAGCACCACAACUGACACCACAACUCCAGAAAGCACCACAACUGAGACCACAACAACAGAAAGCACCACAACUGGCACCACAACUCCAGAAAGCACCACAACAGGCACCACAACAACCGAAAGCACCACAACUGGCACCACAACUCCAGAAAGCACCACAACUGAAACUACAACAACAGAAAGCACCACAACUGAGACCACAACAACCGAAAGCAUCACAACUGGCACCAAAACUCCAGAAAGUACCACAACUGAGACCACAACAACCGAAAGCACCACAACUGGCACCACAACUCCAGAAAGUAAAACAACUGAAACCACAACAACCGAAAGCACCACAACUGGCACCACAACAACCGAAAGCACCACAACUGGCACCACAACUCUAGAAAGUACCACGACUGAGACCACAACAACCGAAAGCACCACAACUGGCACCACAACUCCAGAAAGCACCACAACUGAGACCACAACAACAGAAAGCACCACAACUGGCACCACAACUCCAGAAAGUACCACAACUGAGACCACAACAACCGAAAGCACCACAACUGGCACCACAACUCCAGAAAGCACCACAACUGGCACCACAACAACCGAAAGCACCACAACAACCGAAAGCACCACAACUGGCACCACAACUCCAGAAAGCACCACAACUGAGACCACAACAACUGAAAGCACCACAACUGGCACCACAACAACCGAAAGCACCACAACUCCAGAAAGUACCACAACUGAGACCACAACAACCGAAAGCACCACAACUGGCACCACAACUCCAGAAAGUACCACAACUGAGACCACAACAACCGAAAGCACCACAACUGGCACCACAACUCCAGAAAGCACCACAACUGAGACCACAACAACAGAAAGCACCACAACUGGCACCACAACUCCACCACAACAACAGAAAGCACCACAACUGGCACCACAACAACCGAAAGCACCACAACUGGCACCACAACAACCGAAAGCACCACAACUGGCACCACAACUCCAGAAAGCACCACAACUGGCACCACAACAACCGAAAGCAACUCCAGAAAGUACCACAACUGAGACCACAACAACCGAAAGCACCACAACUGGCACCACAACAACCGAAAGCACCACAACUGGCACCACAACUCCAGAAAGUACCACAACUGAGACCACAACAACCGAAAGCACCACAACUGGCACAACAACAACCGAAAGCACCACAACUGGCACCACAACUCCAGAAAGCACCACAACUGAGACCACAACAACUGAAAGCACCACAACUGGCACCACAACAACUGAAAGCACCACAACUGGCACCACAACUCCAGAAAGUACCACAACUGAGACCACAACUCCAGAAAGCACCACAACUGGCACCACAACUCCAGAAAGCACCACAACUGGCACCACAACUCCAGAAAGCACCACAACUGAGACCACAACAACUGAAAGCACCACAACUGGCACCACAACUCCAGAAAGCACCACAACUGGCACCACAACAACUGAGAGCACAACAGCUGGCACCGCAACUCUAGAAAGUACCACGACUAAGACCAUAACAACCGAAACCACUACCAAUAGCACCAGCGUUUAAGUAAGUGUUUAAGCAUAAUCACAACUUAGUGCACCAGAGUCAUAAAAGGCAGCACCACUGACACAAUUGGCUUCUUUUUUCUGUU
ensembl:lincRNA